AGCCCCGAGGUGUUGUACAUAUAAGAUUGCAAAUCUUAAGUAGCAGAGUAAAGCCUGCCGGGGCUU
rnacentral:tRNA from 1 species